CUGGGACUCACCCAGCAUCUCUCCCUUCCCAGGUCUCACCACUUCUCCCGGCCUCCUCAUCCCCAGGUGAUGCCUAAAGCUCACGUCACCCUCAGGUCGAGAAGUGACACUGAAAUGAAAACUCCUGUCCACCGCAGACCUUCUUCCUCUGUUGUCCUCAGAAGGUUCUCUCUGGUCUCCCCCAUCAGACUGGCCAUGGCCUGAGGAGGCGAGGAUGGAAGAGGUGCACACAGCCCCGUCUCUCUCUGCUCUGUGAGGACUCACUGUCCCCAGGGCUCAAAGUCAGGUGCACCUGCGCCCCCUGGGCUCGCCCUGCCUUGAGGGCCCCCUCUAGGGCUGGGAGUCCCUGAUGUGGGCCCCUUUUUUCCGCCCAGCUGUGAACCAGCCCCAGAGUGCAAUCCUAAUAUGCCCAGGCCACCUGCCGUCCACCCGAGAUGCCACGCAGGUGAGUAGCCUGGAACACAAAGGCCAAAUGAGGGAAACUGAGUCACAUCUGCUUCUCCCAGACUGGGCUGGGGACCAGGGAUGGGGUUCGUGGCACAGCCAACGUGGACCGGGCUGUGCGUCUCCUCUUUUCCUGCCUGUCUCCCUGCCCUUCCCACCCCAUGGAGCCCAGCCUGUGGCUGGCCUGUUAUGCAAUCAGUGGCCCCCAACUGGUGCUGGGCCCUCUUGGGUCAGCACUGCAGGCUCUGGAGCUAAACCCUGGCCCCUGGGUUGGGGGCAGGGGAGAGGGGGGUGCAGGCCACAGGACAGGGUCUGUCUCAUCCGUGCAGUGGCACAGGUAUGGAUUCUGGCUCUGAAGCUGAGUAACGGUGGUCUGCCUGCUGCUCAGAUCCCCCAAGGGGCGGCUGGUGCCUUUACCCCACAUUGUAGUGAGGAGAUCAGGCCUGUGAGGGCAUAAGAUGUACCCAGGGAAGCACAGCGAGGGGGUUUCCCGGGCAUCUCCACCUACUAGGCUGUCCCGCCCCUGCCGCCCUCAGCCUGCUAGGGCCUGUGGUCGGAGCUGUGUAGUCCGUGUGGCCUAAGGGGGCUGAGUCUGUGAGCCCGGAGCACACGCUCAGGGUGCCCCGAGACGUUCAGGGGCAGCCCUGGGCUGGGAGCCUGGUCCUUGGCUGCCCCCGUCCCGAGCGAUGAGGCUCAUAAGGGCUGGUCACCCUGCAGGACAGCUGGGCAGGCCCUUGACAGCCAGCCAGAAUCUUUUUGCCUGGCUCACUCACCAUGGCUGGGGUGGGGGGUCAGAGGAAGACCCUCGGCCGCUCUCCCCUCAAGCCUUGCCCCAGAGGUUGGCUGACUCUCCCUGGCACAUCCUUGAGGGCACCCCCGUCCUGUCUACCAGUUAGAGAGUCCAGGGGGAGGCCACAGGACCCUGAGACCCUCUCGUGUAAGAUGUUGUUCUGGGCCCUCAAAGGGACGUGGGCCAGCCAGGUCCUGGGCAGCAGCCAGGCACUCUCGUCCCCACCCCUAGGGGCUGCAUCUCAGGCUUCCCCUCAGUGGACAGCGCUGGGCCUUGGCCCUGAGCCUCUUUCGUUGCUGGCUGAGGGUCCUGGGACUUAAGCCAUGACCUCCAGUGGGGAAAAAGGCAAUUGCCCUGCACAAGGUGCCAUCAGUACAGCCCCUGCACCCAGGGGCUGUUCGGGAAGCUGCAGCUGCCCCACUUCUUGGGACUGGGCAUGAGCUGCCCCCUCAACCUCGUAGCAGGGGCAAGGCCCAGCCUGGGAAGGCCCAAGAACAAGACCCCAGCCCAGCCUGGGGCCAGGGACCCAUCCAUCUGGGCCUCAGCAUCCACACUGCUAAAUGGGACUGGUCAUCCCAGCUUCCCCGGGCCUGUGAGGACCCAGUGGUACAGCCCAGCCUCGUGCCUGCCUGGAGAGGGCAGUGUGUUGGGAAGGGGCGUGGAGGGAGGUUUAGGGCACUGAAGAGACAGAGCUCUCCUGCCACUUCACCAAGCAAGAAGCAAAACGUUCUGAUCUCCUGAAGUCUUCGGUGUUCCCUCUGCUUCCAUCUGCUCACCUGCUAGGUAGGCGGCUGCUCCGGCGUUUCCUCUGUGCCCGGGCAGGUGGAGGCCGUGCUGGAGGCCGUGGCUGAUGUUUACGAGACUGACUGUGCCGUUGGGCACUGGUGCAGAGCCCUUGAAAGGCGUGGGCAGCCCCAGGGAGGGACACUGGGUCCUGUGUGUUUCCCUCGAGGGUCUGCAGUGCUGGUCCAGCCACCCUCCCCAGGUUGCCUUUUGGGAGGAAAGAAUAGCCUCCUCUGGCCUCCCCCAGAGUGGGGACAGCUCAGGGCACCCUGAGCGGCAGGACCAACCAGAGCCCGUGGGAGGCGGUCCCCGCCGGCCCAGUGGCCCCUCAGGUUGGCCCCAGGCCCAGCAGUCCCUGAGGCUCUCCUGGUGGACUGAGGGUGGGCUGCCAGGUGUACACUCCCUGCACCUGUUUAACACAUGCUGGCCCCCAACAAAUGACAGCCUCCCUCCCAGUGCCACCACGCAGAAGGCACUUGGGGACACGGCCACUGCUGCCCAGAGGGGGUGACCCAGCCACCGUCCAGUUUCCCCCAAGCCACACUGCCCUUCCCUCCCCUUCCCUCUCCGGCAGCUGGCGUCUCCUGUGGGGCUGGCUCCUCUCUGCCAUGGGCAUGCGGGCACUGGCCGAGAGGGUGGCUCGGGGUGCCCAGGCCCUCUGCUGACCCGCCAGCCAGAAUCCCAGUGGCCUUAGCAGCCAGCUGGCCCGGCUCCCAGCCCUGUGCCCUGCAGCCCCCCACCCCCGGAAGGAGGAAGCCAUGAAGUCCGUCUCGGCGCCCAGACUGACGGCCCUUUGGGGUGAGGUAGUAGGUUGUAUAGUUUGGGGCUCUGCCCUGCUAUGGGGUAACUAUACAAUCUACUGUCUUUCCUGAAGUGGCUGUAACACCGACGGUGGACGGCACAUAGGACCUGUUGGGGAGGCGCAGGGGGCAGAUUGGGGUGGGGAGCAGCCUCGGCAGCGUUGGGGGCGCUGGCUGCUAUGCUGAGCCAUGUGCUGUGUGACCUUGGGCAGCUCCCUUGACCUCUCUGGGCUCCAGUUCCCUCAUCUGUGAAAUGCGGGUGGGUGAGAAUUGAUGGAGAUAGCUGCGUGUCGUGUCCAGGGCAGGGAGGGCCUCAGACUUGGCCUGCCCUCUCCCCGCACUGCGCUGAGAGCCGGUGCACCCGCCGGGCGGUUUGUGCAGCCUGCCGCCUGCCCCACCCAUCCUGUGCAUCAGGCCCACGAGCCGGCCCGUCCGGACUCUCCUCCACCACAUUCCCAUGGCUAGCACUGGGCACCAGGACGAAGAGCCUUGGGCCCGAGGAGGAUGGGCCAGCUGAGAUGGCAGGGAGGCCCAUGGCUCCACCCGGCCUGCCCAGCCCAGGAGGGGGCGGGGGUGGCACGGUCCUCCAUGCCUGCCGUGCCUGAGCAGGGAGCGAGGAGCACUCCUGAGCACCUGCACCCCUCGAGGGCACACGCCUGCCCCACCUCCCAGCAACCACGGGUAGAGGGUGUGGGCUGCACUGUGUGGGAAACCGAGGCACCGCCCACUUGUCCCUCCUGCCCUGCACCUGCCCAGCCCUCCAGCUCGGCUCUGGUGGCCAAGGACCACCAGGCAGGAGCCAGGCUGGGCGUGGGGCAGUGGUGGGUGCGGACCCUCCCGCUCCUGGGGCGCCGGCGGGGUGAGGUAGUAGGUUGUGUGGUUUCAGGGCAGUGAUGUUGCCCCCUCAGAAGAUAACUAUACAACCUACUGCCUUCCCUGAGGGGCCCAGCGGCACGCCGGGAGGGCCGCCCCAUCGCCGCUCCUGCACGGGAGGCCGCCGCGGGCGAGCACACCUUGACUUCAAUAAAAGCUGCUCUGACGUGAA